GGACGAACGCUGGCGGCGUGCUUAACACAUGCAAGUCGAACGGUAAGGCUCCAGCUUGCUGGGGUACACGAGUGGCGAACGGGUGAGUAACACGUGGGUGACCUGCCCUGCACUUCGGGAUAAGCCUGGGAAACUGGGUCUAAUACCGGAUAGGACCGCACCGUGAGGGUGUGGUGGAAAGUUUUUUCGGUGUGGGAUGGGCCCGCGGCCUAUCAGCUUGUUGGUGGGGUAAUGGCCUACCAAGGCGGCGACGGGUAGCCGGCCUGAGAGGGUGGACGGCCACAUUGGGACUGAGACACGGCCCAGACUCCUACGGGAGGCAGCAGUGGGGAAUAUUGCACAAUGGGCGGAAGCCUGAUGCAGCGACGCCGCGUGGGGGAUGACGGCCUUCGGGUUGUAAACUCCUUUCACCAUCGACGAAGGGUUUCUGACGGUAGAUGGAGAAGAAGCACCGGCUAACUACGUG
rnacentral:rRNA from 1 species